rnacentral:piRNA from 1 species
UUCUUGAGUAUAUUGUUGUUUU